CCGUUUGUUUCCCUGUUGUCGUACGCUUCACCCUGGAUCAUGUUCAAGAAGUUUGAUGAAAAGGAAAGUGUGUCCAACUGCAUCCAGUUGAAAACGUCAGUUAUUAAGGGCAUUAAGAGCCAACUGGUAGAGCAAUUUCCAGGGCCCCUCACAAAAGCAGCCUCGGGGACACCGGCCUUUUCUUGAGACCUGCAUCUCUUCCCUUCUUCAUCACCUGCUAGUGAACUGAGGCUGCCGCUAACCUUCUUCAUCCUUUGGUGGCAAAGUAGAAAGAUUCCAGAAUUAACUCAGACCUUUCUAAAGACCUGGGCUCAGUGGCAGCUGGCACUGACUGAGCACCCGCUAUGUGCCAGGCACUGUGCUGAAUGCAUUGUAAGGACUGUCUUACUUAUUCCCCACAGCAGCCCUAAGAGGGGGUGCUGUUAUCCCCUUUUUACAGAUAAGAAAACUGAAGCUCAGAGAGGGCACUGCCUUCCCCAAGGUCACCCAGCUACAAGUAACAAAGCCUGUGCUUCUAACACCAAAGACCACUUCCCGCUGACACUGUGCCAGGCUUAGAUCAUCAAUUAUGAAUUUGACACCAAGGACCUGGUGUGCCUGGGCCUGAGCAGCAUCGUUGGCGUCUGGUACCUGCUGAGGAAGCACUGGAUUGCCAACAACCUUUUUGGCCUGGCCUUCUCCCUUAAUGGAGUAGAGCUCCUGCACCUCAACAAUGUCAGCACUGGCUGCAUCCUGCUGGGUGGACUCUUCAUCUACGAUGUCUUCUGGGUAUUUGGCACCAAUGUGAUGGUGACAGUGGCCAAGUCCUUCGAGGCACCAAUAAAAUUGGUGUUUCCCCAGGAUCUGCUGGAGAAAGGCCUCGAAGCAAACAACUUUGCCAUGCUGGGACUUGGAGAUGUCGUCAUU
rnacentral:sRNA from 1 species